rnacentral:rRNA from 1 species
GAUGAACGCUGGCGGCGUGCCUAAUACAUGCAAGUCGAGCGAAUGGAUUAAGAGCUUGCUCUUAUGAAGUUAGCGGCGGACGGGUGAGUAACACGUGGGUAACCUGCCCAUAAGACUGGGAUAACUCCGGGAAACCGGGGCUAAUACCGGAUAACAUUUUGAACCGCAUGGUUCGAAAUUGAAAGGCGGCUUCGGCUGUCACUUAUGGAUGGACCCGCGUCGCAUUAGCUAGUUGGUGAGGUACAGGCUCACCAAGGCAACGAUGCGUAGCCGACCGGAGAGGGGGAUCGGCCACACUGGGACUGAGACACGGCCCAGAGUCCUACGGGAGGCAGCAGUAGGGAAUCUUCCGCAAUGGACGAAAGUCUGACGGAGCAACGCCGCGUGAGUGAUGAAGGCUUUCGGGUCGUAAAACUCUGUUGUUAGGGAAGAACAAGUGCUAGUUGAAUAAGCUGGCACCUUGACGGUACCUAACCAGAAAGCCACGGCUAACUACGUGCCAGCCGCCGCCGUAA